AUACUUACCUGGCGUAGAGGGACACCGUGAUCAUGCAGGCGGUUCCCCCAGGGCGAGUCUGCUCCAUUGCACUGCGGAGUGGUUGACCCUUGUGAUUAUUUUUAUCAAUAAAAAAUCAUAGUAUUAAAUGUAUAC
rnacentral:snRNA from 1 species